rnacentral:rRNA from 1 species
GACGAACGCUGGCGGCGUGCUUAACACAUGCAAGUCGAACGGAAAGGCCCUGCUUUUGUGGGGUGCUCGAGUGGCGAACGGGUGAGUAACACGUGAGUAACCUGCCCUUGACUUUGGGAUAACUUCAGGAAACUGGGGCUAAUACCGGAUAGGAGCUCCUGCUGCAUGGUGGGGGUUGGAAAGUUUCGGCGGUUGGGGAUGGACUCGCGGCUUAUCAGCUUGUUGGUGGGUAGUGGCUUACCAAGGCUUUGACGGGUAGCCGGCCUGGGAGGGUGACCGGCCACAUUGGGACUGAGAUACGGCCCAGACUCCUACGGGAGGCAGCAGUGGGGAAUAUUGCACAAUGGGCGGGAGCCUGAUGCAGCAACGCCGCGUGCGGGAUGACGGCCUUCGGGUUGUAAACCGCUUUCGCCUGUGACGAAGCGUGAGUGACGGUAAUGGGUAAAGAAGCACCGGCUAACUACGUG